UACGUAGGGGGCAAGCGUUGUCCGGAAUCAUUGGGCGUAAAGCGCGCGUAGGCGGGUUUUUAAGUCAGGGGUGAAAUCCUGGAGCUCAACUCCAGAACUGCCUUUGAUACUGAAGAUCUUGAGUCCGGGAGAGGUGAGUGGAACUGCGAGUGUAGAGGUGAAAUUCGUAGAUAUUCGCAAGAACACCAGUGGCGAAGGCGGCUCACUGGCCCGGUACUGACGCUGAGGCACGAAAGCGUGGGGAGCAAACAGG
rnacentral:rRNA from 1 species